UACGUAGGGGGCAAGCGUUGUCCGGAUUUACUGGGCGUAAAGAGCGUGUAGGCGGUUUGGUAGGUCCGUUGUGAAAACUCGAGGCUCAACCUCGAGACGCCGAUGGAAACCAUCAGACUAGAGUCCGGAAGAGGAGAGUGGAAUUCCUGGUGUAGCGGUGAAAUGCGCAGAUAUCAGGAAGAACACCCGUGGCUAAGGCGGCUCUCUAGUACGGUACUGACGCUGAGACGCGAAAGCGUGGGGAGCGAACAGG
rnacentral:rRNA from 1 species